rnacentral:rRNA from 1 species
UACGUAGGGUGCAAGCGUUGUCCGGAAUUAUUGGGCGUAAAGAGCUCGUAGGCGGUCUGUCACGUCGGCUGUGAAAACCUGGGGCUCAACCCCGGGCCUGCAGCCGAUACGGGCAGACUAGAAUUCGGUAGGGGAGACUGGAAUUCCUGGUGUAGCGGUGAAAUGCGCAGAUAUCAGGAGGAACACCGGUGGCGAAGGCGGCGUUCUGGACUGCAACUGACACUGAGGAACGAAAGCCAGGGGAGCAAACGGG